AUUGAACGCUGGCGGCAGGCCUAACACAUGCAAGUCAAGCGGAUGAAGGGAGCUUGCUCCUGGAUUCAGCGGCGGACGGGUGAGUAAUGCCUAGGAAUCUGCCUGGUAGUGGGGGAUAACGUCCGGAAACGGGCGCUAAUACCGCAUACGUCCUGAGGGAGAAAGUGGGGGAUCUUCGGACCUCACGCUAUCAGAUGAGCCUAGGUCGGAUUAGCUAGUUGGUGGGGUAAAGGCCUACCAAGGCGACGAUCCGUAACUGGUGUGAUAGGAUGAUCAGUCACACUGGAAGUGAGACACGGUCCUGACUCCUACGGGAGGCAGCAGUGGGGAAUAUUGGACAAUGGUCGAAAGCCUGGUCCAGCCAUGCCGCGUGUGUGAAGAAGGUCUUCGGAUUGUAAAGCACUUUAAGUUGGGAGGAAGGGCAGUAAGUUAAUACCUUGCUGUUUUGACGUUACCAACAGAAUAAGCACCGGCUAACUUCGUG
rnacentral:rRNA from 1 species